CCUACGGGUGGCAGCAGUGGGGAAUAUUGCACAAUGGGGGAGACCCUGAUGCAGCGACGCCGCGUGAGUGAAGAAGUCCUUCGUUAUGUAAAGCUCUAUCAGCAGGGAAGAAAAUGACGGUACCUGCGUAAUAAGCCCCGGCUAACUAAGUGCCAGCCGCCGCGGUAAUACGGAGGGGGCAAGCGUUAUCCGGAUUUGCUGGGUGUAAGGGAGCUUAGAGGGCAGUGCAAGUCUGGAGUGAAAGGCGGGGGCUCAACCCCCGGACUGCUCUGGAAACUGUACGGCUGGAGUGCAGGAGAGGUAAGUGGAAUUCCUAGUGUAGCGGUGAAAUGCGUAGAUAUUAGGAGGAACACCAGUGGCGAAGGCGGCUUACUGGACUGUAACUGACGUUGAGGCUCGAAAGCGUGGGGAGCAAACAGGAUUAGAUACCCGGGUAGUC
rnacentral:rRNA from 1 species